rnacentral:rRNA from 1 species
UUUACCCCGCGUGAAAACCUAGCAAAUCAAUAAGCGGAGGAAAAGAAACCAACAGGGAUCGCCCCAGUUAACGGGCGAGUGAAGCGGCAACAGCUCAAAUUUGAAAUCUGGCCCCUAGGGCCCGAGUUGUAAUUUGCAGAGGAUGCUUUUGGCGAGGUGCCUUCCGAGUUCCCUGGAACGGGACGCCAUAGAGGGUGAGAGCCCCGUCUGGUUGGACGCCGAGCCUCUGUAAAGCUCCUUUCGACGAGUCGAGUAGUUUGGGAAUGCUGCUCUAAAUGGGAGGUAUAUGUCUUCUAAAGCUAAAUAUUGGCCAGAGACCGAUAGCGCACAAGUAGAGUGAUCGAAAGAUGAAAAGCACUUUGAAAAGAGAGUUAAAUAGUACGUGAAAUUGUUGAAAGGGAAGCGCUUAUGACCAGACUUGGGCCCGGUGAAUCAUCCAGCGUUCUCGCUGGUGCACUUUGCCGGUGCCCAGGCCAGCAUCAGUUUGCCCCGGGGGAUAAAGGCUUUGGGAAUGUAGCUCCCUAGGGAGUGUUAUAGCCCAUUGCAUAAUACCCUGUGGCGGACUGAGGUUCGCGCAUCUUGCAAGGAUGCUGGCGUAAUGGUCAUCAGCGACCCGUCUUGAAACACGGACCAAGGAGUCGUCUUCGUAUGCGAGUGUUCGGGUGUUAAACCCCUACGCGUAAUGAAAGUGAACGCAGGUGAGAGCUUCGGCGCAUCAUCGACCGAUCCUGAUGUUCUCGGAUGGAUUUGAGUAAGAGCAUACGGGGCCGGACCCGAAAGAAGGUGAACUAUGCCUGUAUAGGGUGAAGCCAGAGGAAACUCUGGUGGAGGCUCGCAGCGGUUCUGACGUGCAAAUCGAUCGUCAAAUAUGGGCAUGGGGGCGAAAGACUAAUCGAACCUUCUAGUAGCUGGUUUCCGCCGAAGUUUCCCUCACGAUAGCAGUGUUGAUCUCAGUUUUAUGAGGUAAAGCGAAUGAUUAGGGACCCGGGGGCGCUAUAUUGCCUUCAUCCAUUCUCAAACUUUAAAUAUGUAAGAAGCCCUUGUUACUUAACUGAAAGGGCGUGGGCACUUCUGAAUGUAUCAACACUAGUGGCCAUUUUUGGUAGCAAAAAACCUGGGCGAA